UGUCAAAUAAAAAAGCUAAAGUUUUCAAAAUUUAACAAAUUUUUAAAUUUUUUUCAAUUUUGAACUUUCUUGCAAUUUUAUUCUUCAGAUCGAUGCAGAACAUCCUUCCGAUGAAUUUAAUGUUUUGUUUUUUGUUAGAUUGUCGCCAAAGAAGUGAAAAGCCCGCAAAAUUGUUAGCAACAAUUUCUAGUUCUUAUUGUUAUUACAAGCUUCCUGGUAAUUAGUAUGUACAUAUUAUUACUGUAUUUAAAGUGUUGCCAUGUCUGUCCCAUGUGUUGCAUUUUAACUUGCAUUUACCAUUUUAUUUUUUUAAAUCAAUAGAAUGAAAAACUAUUCACAGCCAUCAUGAUAUCUCACCUACCAUAUCAUUUUCAUGGCCUAUGUCAAUCUUUCCCGAAGACAAGCUUUACUGAGAAUACUAGUAUAAAUUUGAAUUUGUAUACUUACUUUUUUAACUACCAAUCUUGUAUCUUACAACUUACAUACCGAAAUUAUGUUAAUAUCCAUUUGAAGUGAUUAAUUAUAUGGUAAUAUUGAUACCUUCAUGGUGUUGUUAUGUAAUUAAUUUAGGUAACUAAGCUAUAAAUAAUCUGGAGCAACAAUCUUGAUACUUAGGAAAAAGUAGGCAAUGAUAAAUUCCUGGUGUGCUCAAUAGAGAAACUUUAGAAUCUUUUCAAUAUGAUCUCAGCUAUAUGGUCAGCAUUCUUGGUGCAGAUGACAUGGACUGAAGUUUAACUGCGUGUAUUUUUGUAAGUAAACCAUGUAUAAUGUCCCCAUUUGGUCGGAUAAUCAAAUUUAGUUACGAUGUACUCAGGUCAGUUGUUGUAUAUCUUCAACAGUUAUUGACAUCAAAUCGAAAAUUAGAAUUGUAAUAUAAAUACUUAUCUGAUUACAAGCUAAAUAGUACUAAGUAUUUAUAUAUUCUUACUGUAUUUAAAAUGUCAGGGAGACUGUUUUCCUGGUGUAAUGCAUAAAUUUACCUCAUGCAUAAAAGGUAUCAUGCAGGAUUAGUUUUUUACACCAAUAGCUCUCUCCUCCUACGUUGUGUCUUUUCCUCAACCCCCAAAUACUUUAUAUACCCCUGUUUAAAAUCUAUCCCCUUAACAAGUGUCAAAAAAGUAAACACUCCCCUGUCAUGAAUUGUGCUGAAAUGGCAACGUUGUGGAUGGGAGGUAACUCCAGACAGCUUGAAAUGGAAUUCAUAUAGUGUGUAUAGCAUGCAAUACAAUCUUUAUAAUAUGCCCAACAGUCUUCGUGCAAAUGAUAAGGAUUGAAGUUUAACAAUCUAAAUGUUGGCAAGUAAACCAAUCUGAUCAGAUCAUCUGAUGUAGUCACAAUGUUUUCAGAUCAGUUGUACAGUUGCUACAAAUAAUAUAAAUUUAGAAUUAUUAAAUAAAUAUGCAUUUUGCAGGAGAUAGAGCUCUGUCCAUCUGUGUGUGCACUCAUGUGUGUAAGAUCAUUUUCCGGUCCAGUACUCUGAAACUUUUGUACAGAUAUAAAGCUAGUAAUGUAAUAGUGCCUUUUGCUAUGGAGAAGUUCUCCAUUCAAAUACUUUUUCUGUUACCAUGGAAACAGAUAAACAGAAAUCACAAACCAUACAACAAUGGAAAAUAAUCUACACAAAAAUAUCUAACAGUGGUACAAUGGACUUAUGUACCUGUUAUAUUAUUGCGCGUCUUUUUAACAGCAAGGCACAGGGGAUAAUGUGUCAUGUAGUUAUGAUGAAAUAACGAUCACAGGUGCAUUAAAAUUGAUCAUGGAUUAUAAAAAUAAUUUUUAAAUUGAAAGUUUUUGAAAUAACAGUAGAUGCUGGAUUAGUUAGUCUUUCUAUUGUAUAGUUUCAAACCUAAGACAGUGGCAAGUAGUGUUCCUCUGGCAAUAAAUAUUACCACUAUACGGAAUAGACAUGACAGGUCCAGAUCCGUACCACCUAGGUUUCCAAUGUAACAAUUACAACACUUGAGAUUUACCUGAAUAUAUAUUUCUUUACAAAAUUCUUGAAAAAAUUGUAAUACAGAAGUAAUGAAAGUAAAAUUUUUCCUUUCUGAUGGUAUGAGGUUUUAGAUGUUUUAUUGCAGAGACAACAAGAGACAUCCAUUUAAUGUUUACAUACAUAAUGAUAUAAUGACUAUCUGUUCACCAAGGCUGGUCACGUGUGGCACUUUAUAAACAAAACACUUUGAAUUAUGAGUGUAUAUAACGAUUCAGUCUAUAUCUGAUAGAUUUAUUAUAUAUAUGUCCAACCUAUAGAUUUAUGGCUUAAUUAGAAAAUUUACUUUGUUGUACUCUUAUACAACAGGCUAUUUAAAAAAUGAAUAAACCCUAUCCAACACUUAUUGACAAAUCAUUUCUAAAUCUAUGUUAGCCGUGAUAUAUAGCAUAUUUGUGCAAUACCAGUAUACAGGUUCUCCUGUUCCUGGACGGAAGAUUUUAUAUAGGAAAAUUCACUUAUUGUGUUUAAUUUGUUUUAAUUCAAACUUGGUUAGAAGUCUUAGUAAGUUAAUGUUUUACACAGUUUACAUUAGGUGUACAAUGUAGUUAUCUUACUUUGUUUAACAAAAUCAUUUUUAUGACAUGUUACAAGAAGCAAUGUAACUCAGUUGACCAUUAAGGCCCUUGGGCCUUUUGUUACUGUCACUUUUCUUCUCUGUAAGAGAAAGAAAGACAGAUGAGGAGUGAUGACAGAAAACAGAUUUGAUCAGGUAGUACACAAGCAUAUGAGUAAACACCACAGAUAGCCUUGGAAGAGCCUUUUCACCUGCAGGGGAAAUUCUUUCAUCACCAGUUCAGAGUUCACUGUAAGUUUACAUAUAAAUUGUAGUCUCUUUCUCUUACACAAGGUGUAAAGAUUAGUCUACAUUUAACUGAAAGUUUCAAAGUAGGGAGAUAUAAGCUAGAGUAAGACUUGAGGUGAGUAAUCCUGAACAAAUGCUUAGGCACUGGUAGCUAUUCUAAGUAUUCUAAAGUGUACACUGUAAUAUUGAAAUUAUAUUGGCCAAAAGGAGUAAAAGUUUAAAAAUAGACGGAUAAAGCUGAUCUACACUCCCUCUCCUGUGUUUAAGCUUCCUGAGACAACUUCAGGUAUAAGACUGUUUAAUGUGGUGAAUUAAGAGGCUUCCUGAGACAACAUCGGGUAUUAGACUGUUUAAUGUGGUGAAUUAAGAGGCUUCCUGAGACAACAUCGGGUAUAAGACUGUUUAAUGUGGUGAAUUAAGAGGCUUCCUGAGACAACUUCAGGUAUAAGACUGUUUAAUGUGGUGAAUUAAGAGGCUUCCUGAGACAACAUCGGGUAUUAGACUGUUUAAUGUGGUGAAUUAAGAGGCUUCCUGAGACAACUUCAGGUAUAAGACUGUUUAAUGUGGUGAAUUAAGAGGCUUCCUGAGACAACAUCGGGUAUUAGACUGUUUAAUGUGGUGAAUUAAGAGGCUUCCUGAGACAACUUCGGGUAUUUGUUCAUCUAUGUAGUCGAAAAUCUGCUGCUAUAAAAAAGUUGCAGCAUCAAAUAGGAAUAUUAGUGAUAACUAUUUGCUGGUAGGUAUUUAUUUAUUUAUUUGGUCUAAAAUAGGUUUAUUGAAAUUUGUUUUCAAAGUUAAUUUGUGUCUCUCAAUUAAUUUCAUAAUUUUUAGCUCACCUGACCAAGAGAGCUUUUCUAUUUAAGCAACUUUUUCUCAGUAAACAGCAGACCUGGCUGGUUGCUGGGAUGUAGCACGACAAAGUUUGCGGAAUAAAAAAGACCUGACCUUUAUUUAAGGUCAAAGGGGCCAAAUUUGUUGAAACAUUUAAAUGACUUCUUCUGAUUAACCAAAAGGUGUAGAAGCGUGGUAUUGUGCAGGCAAAUUCCUAGAAUGAAGCCCAACAAACCGUAUGCAAGAUCACAGGGUUCAAAUUUGUUAAAAUCUUAAAGUGGCAAUUAAAUCAAGUUUUAUAAAUAUUUUUCAAGUCAAAAAACUUUUAUGGAAUUGUAGUUCUGUGCUCCUUAUGAAUUAUUAUAAGUACAACCAACAUUUUAUAUCCAAAUACAAUGACACUUUGAUCUAAUUGGCAUGCAUAAACCUGUCUGGAUAAUGUCAACAAAAAUGGCUUCCAAGUUAAGUGAGUAAAACAUACUACAGGGUCUCCCAACAAACAAAUAGAAUUGUUUACAAGCAGCUUUGUUCCCACAUGUCAUUUUGUGCAAUAUAAAGAUUCCUGAUAUAUUUGGCACUGGCUUUCCCAAAAUUUAAACUGACCAGACAUUGAUAAGCUAGCAAAUUGAUUGCAUGUGCCCUCUUUGAAUGCCAAUGGUUUACAUAUCCAUAUAUUUGUGAUAUAAACUCAGAUUCCAAUUUUGAUCAAUUCAGGCCCAUUAGGCCUCUUGUUUGUUUAUCAGACUACAUUGUUUACAGGUUUUAUUUCAUUGAUUGUUUACAUAAAAUAUACAGUCAAACCUCAUUAUCUCAAACAUUUAUAACUUGAAGACACUGUUUAGUUUGAAGAAUUGCAUUAGUCCCAGUAAAUCUUCACGCCAAUCAUUCAAACUCACAGAUAACUGAAAAUUUGUCAUGGUCCCAUCAACUAGGAGAUAAUGAAGUCUGAGUGUGCUAUCAGUAUGCAAUCUGUUUAUCCAAUAACUCUUUGUCAUUUUAAGACAGAAUCCUUUGUUAAUGGUGUUGGUGUAACUGACAAUGCUUUAUUCAAUAAAUUAACUGAUUUUCAAUUGAG